GGAUUAGAUACCCUGGUAGUCCACGCUGUAAACGAUGUCUACUAGCCGUUGGGGAACUUGAGUCCUUGGUGGCGCAGCUAACGCACUAAGUAGACCGCCUGGGGAGUACGGCCGCAAGGUUAAAACUCAAAUGAAUUGACGGGGGCCCGCACAAGCGGUGGAGCAUGUGGUUUAAUUCGAUGCAACGCGAAGAACCUUACCAGGUCUUGACAUCCUGCGAAGAUUCCAGAGAUGGGAUUGUGCCUUCGGGAACGCAGUGACAGGUGCUGCAUGGCUGUCGUCAGCUCGUGCCG
rnacentral:rRNA from 1 species